CUACGGGCGGCUCCAGUGAGGAAUAUUGCACAAUGGGAGGAAACUCUGAUGCAGCAACGCCGCGUGGAGGAUGACACUUUUCGGAGCGUAAACUCCUUUUAUAUAGGAAGAAGAUGACGGUACUAUAUGAAUAAGCGCCGGCUAACUCCGUGCCAGCAGCCGCGGUAAUACGGAGGGCGCAAGCGUUACUCGGAAUCACUGGGCGUAAAGAGCGUGUAGGCGGAUUAAAAAGUCAGAAGUGAAAUCCUAUAGCUUAACUAUAGAACUGCUUCUGAAACUCUUAAUCUAGAAUAUGGGAGAGGUAGAUGGAAUUUCUGGUGUAGGGGUAAAAUCCGUAGAGAUCAGAAGGAAUACCGAUUGCGAAGGCGAUCUACUAGAACAUUAUUGACGCUGAGACGCGAAAGCGUGGGGAGCAAACAGGAUUAGAUACCCGGGUAGUC
rnacentral:rRNA from 1 species